GAUGAACGCUAGCUACAGGCUUAACACAUGCAAGUCGAGGGGCAGCACAGAGAUAGCUUGCUAUCUUGGGUGGCGACCGGCGCACGGGUGAGUAACGCGUAUCCAACCUGCCCAUUACUCGGGGAUAGCCUUGCGAAAGUAAGAUUAAUACCCGAUGUUGUUUGAAUGCCGCAUGACGAUCAAACCAAAGAUUUAUUGGUAAUGGAUGGGGAUGCGUGACAUUAGGUAGUAGGUGAGGUAACGGCUCACCUAGCCGACGAUGUGUAGGGGUUCUGGGAGGAAGGUCCCCCACACUGGAACUGAGACACGGUCCAGACUCCUACGGGAGGCAGCAGUGAGGAAUAUUGGUCAAUGGACGAGAGUCUGAACCAGCCAAGUAGCGUGCAGGACGACGGCCCUCUGGGUUGUAAACUGCUUUUAGUUGGGAAUAAAAAGAGGGACGUGUCCCUAAUUGUAUGUACCAUCAGAAAAAGGACCGGCUAAUUCCGUGCCAGCCGCCGCGGUAACAC
rnacentral:rRNA from 1 species